AGGGUUUGAUCAUGGCUCAGAAUCAACGCUGGCGGCGUGCCUCAGACAUGCAAGUCGAACGCGAAAGUCCCCUUCGGGGGGCGAGUAGAGUGGCGCACGGGUGAGUAACACGUAGGUAAUCUACCUUUGGAUUGGGAAUAACAACCGGAAACGGUUGCUAAUACCGAAUAAUGCAGCGGCACCUAGUGGUGACAGUUGUUAAAGCGGGGGAUCGCAAGACCUCGCGUCUGAAGAGGAGCCUGCGGCAGAUUAGCUAGUUGGUAAGGUAACGGCUUACCAAGGCGAUGAUCUGUAGCCGGCCUGAGAGGGCGGUCGGCCACACUGACACUGACAUACGGGUCAGACUCCUACGGGAGGCAGCAGUCGGGAAUUUUGGGCAAUGGGCGAAAGCCUGACCCAGCAACGCCGCGUGAAGGAUGAAAUCCUUCGGGAUGUAAACUUCGCAAGAACGGGAAGAAUAAGUAAGAGUUAAUAUCUCUUACGAUGACGGUACUGUUUGUAAGCUCCGGCUAACUCCGUGCCAGCAGCCGCGGUAAUACGGGGGGAGCAAGCGUUGUUCGGAUUUACUGGGCGUAAAGGGCGCGUAGGCGGCCACCGCAAGUCGACUGUGAAAUCUCCGGGCUUAACCCGGAAAGGUCAGCCGAUACUGCGGGGCUAGAGUGCAGAAGGGGCAACUGGAAUUCUCGGUGUAGCGGUGAAAUGCGUAGAUAUCGAGAGGAACACCUGCGGCGAAGGCGGGUUGCUGGGCUGACACUGACGCUGAUGCGCGAAAGCUAGGGGAGCGAACGGGAUUAGAUACCCCGGUAGUCCUAGCCUUAAACGAUGAAUGCUUGGUGUCUGGGGUUUUAUAGUCCCCGGGU
rnacentral:rRNA from 1 species